CCUACGGGAGGCAGCAGUGGGGAAUAUUGCGCACUGGGCGAAAGCCUGACGCAGCGACGCCGCGUGAGGGAUGAAGGUCUUCGGAUCGUAAACCUCUGUCAGCAGGGAAGAACGGUCACUGUGCUAAUCAGCAGUGAAUUGACGGUACCUGCAAAGGAAGCACCGGCUAACUCCGUGCCAGCCGCCGCGGUAAUACGGAGGGUGCGAGCGUUAAUCGGAAUUACUGGGCGUAAAGCGCUCGUAGGCGGUAUGUCAAGUCAAGGGUGAAAUCCCCGCGCUCAACGUGGGAACUGCCUUUGAAGCUGGCAAACUGGAGUGUGUGAGAGGAUAGUGGAAUUCCAGGUGUAGGAGUGAAAUCCGUAGAUAUCUGGAGGAACAUCAGUGGCGAAGGCGACUAUCUGGCACAUAACUGACGCUGAGGAGCGAAAGCGUGGGUAGCAAACAGGAUUAGAUACCCCAGUAGUC
rnacentral:rRNA from 1 species